UGAAACUAGCCACGACGCCACAAGAACAUGACGCCGCCACUAACAACAAUGAAGGAAAAACCCACCCAGUACCGACUACGCACACCCCCAGUACCAACUACGCAGACAACCGGUACCAACAACCCCUAUUUCGCAA
rnacentral:rRNA from 1 species